GUUAAAAGUCUCAUGCCAACUUUCCCUUAGCAGUAACAGAAAAGAAGUCUCCUCUGCAUAGUAUUCAUGUGUGAUUUUUUUGACUGUUAGACUUUCCUCUUCUUUGCUCACUGAGAAUUAAUGCCUUUUCUCCUGUUAGAUUCCAUGUCUGCAGUGCACACACAAGCAACUAUACUGUAGUAUUUUUUAAUGUCUAUUUUUUUCAUUUGCCAGGAAUGCUUUCAUUAAUCAAGAAAAAAGUUUGAGGUUCAAAGGUAAUCAGAUACCAUCAUAGUUCCGACCAUAAACAAUGCUGACUGGCGAUGUAGUGGCAUUAUUCCCAAGACCCUCUGGGCAGCUUCCAGAAAACCAAAGUCUUUGGGAUC
rnacentral:ncRNA from 1 species